rnacentral:rRNA from 1 species
UGGGGAAUUUUGGACAAUGGGCGCAAGCCUGAUCCAGCCAUGCCGCGUGCGGGAAGAAGGCCUUCGGGUUGUAAACCGCUUUUAGCCGGAAAGAAAAGGCACAGGCCAAUACCCUGUGUUCUUGACGGUACCGGCGGAAUAAGCACCGGCUAACUACGUGCCAGCAGCCGCGGUAAUACGUAGGGUGCGAGCGUUAAUCGGAAUUACUGGGCGUAAAGCGUGCGCAGGCGGUCCGUUGUGUCCGAUGUGAAAGCCCCGGGCUUAACCUGGGAAUGGCAUGGGAAACUGGCGGGCUGGAGUGUGGCAGAGGGGGGUGGAAUUCCGCGUGUAGCAGUGAAAUGCGUAGAGAUGCGGAGGAACACCGAUGGCGAAGGCAGCCCCCUGGGCCAACACUGACGCUCAGGCACGAAAGCGUGGGGAGCAAGC